GUUCAUCAAGGAGCCCUUCUCUUCUCGUGGAGACGCCUAGGGUUCGUUCUUGAUGGGCGCGGAAGUGCUCGUCGCCGUCGCGCUUUACAUGGUGGAUCGAUUGAGCGCCUAGAUCGAUCUCAAGUCGGAGAAUGCAAGGACUAUAAAUGCAUAAUAAAUAUAGAAGAGAUGAAGGGUAAUUAAAGAGUACAAAUGAAGUCAACAGCGAAUUAGACUACCUUCAUGUACCUCGUACGAUCAUAUAGAGAUUGUCGAUGUAUUUGCUGGUGAGUCCACUAAGGUGACACUAGCGAGCGAUGUUGGCCAAGUUAUGACUCGUUAAUAUCGUCAUUGAAUUUCUGCAA